rnacentral:rRNA from 1 species
AUGAACGCUAGCGGCAGGCUUAAUACAUGCAAGUUGAGGGGCAGCAUGAUAUACGCGAGUAUAUUGAUGGCGACCGGCGGACGGGUGAGUAAUAGGUAGGAGACCUACCUCAUACAGGGGGAUAGCAUAGAGAAAUCUGUGGUAAUACCCCAUGAGGUUAUAUGAAUAGAGGCAUAUAAUCAAAGCAUAAGCGAUUAUGCGGUAUGAGAGGGGCCUACUGACCAUUAGCUAGUUGGUGAGGUAAGGGCUCACCAAGGCGAAGAUGGUUAGGGGUUUUGAGAGAGAGACCCCCCACAUUGGAACUGAGAGACGGUCCAGACUCCUACGGGAGGCAGCAGUAGGGAAUAUUGGGCAAUGGGCGAAAGCCUGACCCAGCCAUGCCGCGUGAAGGAAGACGGCCUUAUGGGUUGUAAACUUCUUUACUACGCGAAUAGAGGAUAGUACGAGAUACUAAUAGGAAGGUAGUGUAGUAAAAAGCACCGGCUAACUCCGUG